AUUUUAGCUUUUCUGUUUUUCUUUAUUAGGGGUAUGUGUAGUGUGUUCAUUUAUUCAAUUCUUUUUCCUGCAUUAUAGUGCUAAAUCUUUCUUGGUUUGUCGAAAUUUCCCCUAUUUGAUUCAUCAAAGGCUAAAAGGGUGAGAAAAAUGAUGUGUUUUUGUUGCAAUAAAAGGUGUGUUUGUUAUGAUUUUUAAUGCUUGGUUUAGUAUAACAGUAGUUCUAGAAAUUACAAGAGCAAUACCAGUACUCGUAGUAUUGCUCUUAUAGUUUCUUGUUUGUUUCUUGUACUUCAAUUAUCUUAUUUAUUUGUGUUAGCUACUGCUCCUUUUAUCAUGGCUUAUUCGCUUUCGUUAUUUUCUUUCUGUACUGCUUUGAACUGCUUGUCCUUAUGUCAAAGGUCUACCGGAAACAACCUCUCUAUCUCCUUCUGCGUACGCUCUGCCCUCCCCAGACCCCACUUUGUGGGAUUUAACUGGGUCUGUUCAAGUUUGAAACUUAUUCCUAGACUGACAAUAGAUGCGAGCCACAUGCAUAAAAAACUUGCUAUUACUGCAGCGGUGGAUGUUAUCGCUGGAAAUGCGGACCUUUUAUAUGAAAUUCUGCUUUGUUUGCCUGCAAGAUCUCUCAUCAGGUUCAGUAUAGUAUGCAAGCUUUGGCGCUCAAUCAUUACCAGUAUGCAAUUUAGGCUACGUCAUUGUCGUACUCUUGCCUUUUCUAACGCUCUCCCCCCUUCCGGGAUUUACUUUUACAAUUGUCUAACCAAACCCCAAAAGAUUGAAUCCCUUCCAAUCACUGAUAAUGUAACUAGCCUCCCUCCUAUUCAAUUCCUUGACCACAUGGCUCCAAAUAUAAGAGAUACAUACGAGAUUACGCAAGCCAAGGUUACGCAAUCUUGCAAUGGCCUAUUAAUGUGCGUAUUCACCGCGAGAACUGAUAGAAUUACUAUCAAAAUUGGUAUUGUUUACAAUCCCGCAAAGAAAGAGGCCCGUGUGUUGCGGUCCCCCUAUAAGAAGUAUGAUGAUAAACUUGUCUAUUAUAAUCUGAUAUUUGAUCCUUCAGAGCCACCUUAUUACAAAGUUGUGUGUGUUACUCGUCUGGGUAGUUGGUUUUCUGAUAUCGAUGUGAGUGUGUAUGUGCCAGAGAGCAAGUCAUGGCGUUCCUGUUGUCGUUCCUCUGUACCCUCUUUUAUGAACUUUGAGAGUGGAGUAUUUUGGAAUGGUGCAAUUCACUGGAUAGGUGAAUAUUCCUCCGUUUACUUUGAUGUUAAUUCAGAGGAAGUUGCAAUGAUAAGUAUGCCACCAAGACCUCACGGAUAUUGUAGCCAAAAGAUUAGGUAUUUUGGGGAAUGGGGUGGCCAUUUGCAUCUUAUUCAGGUUCAGAGCCUAUACGCCAAGAAAUUCAAUGUGCUUGAAUUAGAUAAAGAUACCUGGAAGUGGUCAGUGAAGUAUCGUGUUCAUCUUGCUCGGUUAAUUUCAGCAUUUCCAGAGAUGGUUCGGCAGACAUCAUCACGAUAUGCAUUUUCCAUUUUGUCUGUGAUUCGAGGGGAGAACGAAGAAGAUUCAGUCCUUUUGCUAACUAUUCCCGGGAAGGUGGUCUCCUACAACUUAGUGCGUAAAACUACUAAAGUAGUCCGCGAGUUGCCUGGUGAAGUAGUUGACACUUUACGCUUUAAGCAUAUCAGCGCUUAUCAGUAUACCGAAAGUUUGUUUCCGGUUGGAGAGUGGGGUAUUAUCAAAAAAUAGUGCUCUUAUCAGCGGCUUGCAAGGACUUCUCGGCAUUCUUCUGGAAAAGGUUAUCGCUUAGGUACUUCAAGUCAAGACUUAUUUGAAAACCAAUAGCUGGUUCUAUUAGAUGAUCAUCUUCCUACCUCACUUGAUGUCGCAAUUUAUUUCGUAAAUGACUAUCUGGUGCUCUCGAGCUUCUCGUUGGCUAUUUGGUAUUAAGAGGAAGCAGUAUUUAUGAAGUGUGUGGUUACACUUAUGAUGCAUCGAUGCACCAUAUUCUGGAAAAUUAAUAGGUGGAUGUGAGGAGCUCUUCUAGCUAUUUUCACAAAUUUCAGGUAUUUCCAUGUAAUAUAUAUAUGGCCAAAAGGAGCUAUAUAUAUGCUGUUAGAAACAAUGUUUUGAUCUGUACAUAUAAAUGUGAUUUCAAAUAGAUGGCUUUCAUCUAUAAAGGUAUAUAUGUUGUUAUAAGCGAUGUUUUGAUAUGCAAGGAUAAAUGUUUAACCAUUGUCAUACA